rnacentral:lncRNA from 1 species
AUGACUCUGCUGGCUGCUUUGAUUUCCCAUUAUUUGGAAUCUGAUAAAUCAUCAGACAGUUUUGAAGUGUUGACAGUAAAUAAGAUGAAGCAAUACGAAAACUUGCCAUUUCAUGACUUGAUGAAUAAAUUAUGAAGCUGGUUUACAACUAAGAACAUUUGAAAAGGGGAAGCAGUCUGGACCACCUUACUUUUGCACCACUCAUUCUGGCAUUUCUGGAAACAGAGACUUUUCAACUAAGCUCAAGAUCAUCCAGUCAUCAAGUUUUGAAAAAACUGACUAUAAACUGCUAAAUAUUGAUUGUAGUUAAAUUCAGCCACUGUACUACUAGUGUUGAGACACAAAAAUGGACCUUCAAGUGAUGGAGGCUGUGUUGUGCCUGCAAGCCUGACUUUUGUGGAAGAAAAUAGUCCAAUGUUUUAAGUGCAAAACAAAUGCAGGAGAUAAAUCACUUGGGGACAAUGCAAGUAGCAUCUGUAAUGUCAUUUUAAUUCCUUUUUAUAUUAACACAAUUGAAUAAUCAUACAAACAUGAAUUUUAUAAAUGCACAAAAUGAAGUCUUUAAGGAAAUAGAAAUCAUCUGCCACCUGCUACUGUGUAGACCAAACCCAGGUGCUAUGAGCAUCUGGGUUAGGUGCCAGAAAAGCUAGCAAACAUUUUCUUUAAGGAAGAGAGCAGGAAUUUCACUGGAAUUUGGAUUGAGGGUUGAAAAAAUAUCUGUGUUUUCCAAGCCUAAAGACAAACGAGAGCAUGAUCAGGGUCAGACAGAAGUCAUGAAUGGUGGAUCAAGGCUGGGUGAGCUGAUUUGUAAUCAGCAAAGGCAGGAUCAAGAGCCUGGAUUGAGAUCUAGGAGCAAGACAGCCUCAAAGGAAAGACUGCAGCUUGAGGCAGUUUAGAGGGAACGUUUUUCCAGCUGAUGCUUAAAAUAUAUGUACUAGGUGGGAAAGGAGAGGUCUGUGCAAGCAGCAGCCACCGAUGAGCUGUCUGACAAAUGACUCUUCCCCUUCUGUUUGAUGGAUGACUCAGGAUAAACCCACUGUUUAUUAUUUGUUGCUAAGUAUUUGUAAUAUGGGUGUCAUAAACUGAUAUGAAGUAGAUGGCAAAAUCAUAAUUUUUGCACUGAGCAACCUUUCUUCAUAUCUUCUCAUUAAGGAACUAGGCCAUUAAAAAUGAUACAGAAAAAUGUCCUCUGAUGAUUUUUUUUAUUCUUCCCACACAAAACAGGCACAAGAAAAAAUCUUACUCUAACACUCAGCCACAUCACUUUUAAAAGCUUACUUGCUUUUAGUUACACAUCAGUGCUAAUGCUUUAUAAGUUUAAUGUGUGAAAUAGCUUUGUUAUAAAUCAGUGCCUCCAUUUUGUCUUUUACUUCAUUUAAACUUUUUCUUCAAGAGCUCUGUUUGUAAAUAAUGAUAGCAUAUUUGUGUCAAAAUUUUUUCAAUACUUUCAUAUCUCUGGAAUAAAUUAUGGAACAUUAUGCUAGACA